AAUCUAUAAUCUACAACUCUAUAUGAUUUUUCAAUACAAUAGCUGGUGUGGUAAGUCCUCUUUUUUUUGAACUUUGCUAAUUUUUUUUCUUUUUUUUUAUUAGUGGACUUCUCUCUCUUCUCUCUUUCCCUUCAUCUCUCCUUCAUCCCACUGUAUGUCCCUUCAUCUUCAAACUGCUUUUUCAAGAAAACCUCCGUCCCCUCAUUUUCCUCUCUCUCUCCUACCAACCCACAUCCGUUCUCUCUCCUUUUUUUUUUUAAGUUUCAAAUUAUUAUUAAUAAUAAAUUUUAAAUACUAAUUUUUAUAAUUUUGAUUUAAUUUAAUAUAAAGAAUAAGUGGGUGAUAAUAAAUUUAAGAGCUACGAAUUGAAUUCGCUUCAAGUGAGAUUUUAUAUUUUUAUGAAUUAAAAAAUAUUUGUUUCGUUUCUCAAAAAAAAUUUCUCUCUCCUAAUUUUUUUAUUUUAAUUGCUUUUUUUUUUUAUUUUGGUUUUGAUGUAGAAAAGAAGAAACUAGAACCUAUUAUAAUUUAUCGUGUAAUAAAAUCAGUCCCAACAAAAUUAUCUCUGAUUUUUAUUUUUUCGUUCCCUUUUAUUCUUGCAUUAUUAUAUUUUUUUUAAUUCCUAUCUAUGCAACCAUUUUUAUUCUUUUAUAGUUUUUUUUGUUUUCUUUCUUUGUUCUUCAUUGAAUUAUAUUUUCAUUCUAAAAAUUUUUUUAAUAUAUUUUUUAUAUUAUUAAUCAAUCAAAUAUUAAUUAUUUUCUGCUAUAUUUUUAUUUUUAUAUUUAAUUUAUAAUUUAUUAUAAUUUUUAUUCGUCGCAUCACGCAGGUUCCUACGCUAGUGUGACAUUAUUUUGUAAUGAUGAAACUUAGACCUCAAUCAUUUGGGAUGAUGCUCUCUCUAUCUCUGUAUCUCUACACACUUUUAGUUUUGAUCCCUUUCUGUUUUCUUUUUCUUAUCUUAGUGCAGAAGUUUGAAGAAGCCCUUCUCAUUAGGCUUACAGUCAUUGGUCUAAAUUUGCCUUAAUUUCAAUGUAUGUUCCUUCUAUUAGAUUGCCCAGCUUGCUGAGGCCUGUGCUCAGGGCAUGUUUGUUUGGGUAGAAGUGGAGAGGAGGAAAAUUAUUUUCGUCAUAAACUAUUAUUUUCGUUGUUUGGUUCACCGUAACAAAGUUACGGUCGAAACUCGAGUUAACCUCAAACGGCGUAAUUGACUUCGGCUUAUCGUGGGCCGAAGUUUAUUACGGUAAAAAAAGAUGAAGAAAAAAUAAUAAAAUAAUAUACUGGGUGAAGAUAAUUAUAUUUAAAUAUAUUUAAUUAUGGUAUAAAUUAUUUUUUUAUUUAGUUGACAUAUUUAAGAUACGAUAAAAAUUGAUUAGUUAACUUUUCAUAUUUUCUUUAUGUAGUUUGUACAAUUAAAAUAUGAUAAAAAUUGAUUAAUCAAGUAUUAAUAUUUUUUUAUUUUAUAAUUUUAUUGUUGUAUUAUUAUAAUUUAUAUAUAAAAAAAAUAUUUUUAUUUUUAUUUAUUAAAUUAUUUAUUAUUUAUACAUAAAUUAUAGUUUUACAUUAUACACGUCAUACCAAACAAACAGCAGAACUAAUGAAACUCUACUUCCAUAACUACGAAACAAACAGCGGAGAAGAAUUAGUUUUUACUAAACUCCACCUCAACCCAAAGUUCACUUCGAUCCAAAGUCUAAUUUCGGUGAAACAAAUAUGUCCUCGGGAGUCAGA
rnacentral:lncRNA from 1 species